GACUCUCCUAGAGAGGUGGUUGGUACUGUUUUGAAGUAUAUGGGAGCAUCAUACAACACAAAGAACAUUGAAUUGGAAGUUACUGGCGGGAGAAAUGCAGUCCAAAAGAAUCUUGCAUUACUUGGAAAACAGGUCCGAUUAUUUGAUAGCACGCACUACCUGAAAGCAUUUGCAGUGGGAGAUGUAUGGGUUGCCGUUGGUUGGAGUAGUGAUGUUCUUCCUGUUGCCAAGCGCAUGUCUAAUGUUGCAGUUGUAGUCCCCAAGUCCGGAGCUAGCUUAUGGGCUGAUCUCUGGGCAAUCCCCGCCGCCUCAAGACUUGAAACAAACCAAAUUGGAGGGCGAGUCAGAGGACCAUCUCCAUUAAUCCAUCAAUGGAUAGAGUUCUGCUUGCAAGCUGCAAGAGCACUACCUUUCAAGCAGGAGGUAGUCGCUGGAGCAACUCCGUCUGCCCUUGAGAGUACAACAGUUGAAAUCCCUAAAGAGCUCACCAGAGGUAAGCCAAAAUUGGACACAAAUCUUAUAGCUGGAGUGCC
rnacentral:misc_RNA from 1 species